UACCUCCGGCGGGAUUCGAACCCGCAAUCCCCGGUUUAGGAGACCGAUGCCUUAUCCAUUAGGCCACGGAGGC
rnacentral:tRNA from 1 species